UCAAACAAUGGGGUCUGCUUUUAACAUGGGAUGCCCUGGUGGAGGCUUGCCAGGCAUAUGUGGUUUGUGCUCAGAAAGAUCCACACCCCCCACACCUUGAAGCCAAGGAUGGCCAGGUAAUGCAUGGAUGCAUACGUUUCACAUGAUGGCAGGUUGAAUACAUUGGCCCUUUACUGAGGUCAGAGGUGUCAUGUUUGCCUUAGCAGCUGUGGAUAUGAUUACAGGCUUAGUUUUUUGCCUGGUCCAAUAGUCAAGCCAAUCAGCAUGCUACAGUUCACACCCUGACAAUAUUGAUGGCCUUGUACAGCUGGCCCAUUACAAUAAAAAGUGACCAAAGGGACUCAUUUUAUAGGUAAGGACGUGCUGUGAUGGACAACUCAAUUACUGGUUCAGUGGAAGCUGCAUGUCCAUAUUACCUACAGGCUGCAGGCUUGGUAGAUAUAAUGGCCUGCUUAAGCAAGGACUUAGGACUGCAGUCAAGCCACCUUCCAUGAAGGGGUGGGCAUAGCCACCUGUGGGUAAUUAUGAGAGCUCUGAAUGAGCAUCCCCAGCAAGGGAGACCAGCUCCUGUGAAGGUUUUGCUGCAUCUCACAGCAGCACUAAUACACGUCCAGUGACCAUAAAAGAUGUUAUACUUAAACCUGGGAUUGGGAAGCAAAGGAAUGUUCUUUUCCUGCUCUCACUGGAUUGAAUAGGGGGGAAACUGUGAAUUGGACACGGCCCUAAACAAUAGAGUCCACCCUCUUUCAUUGGGUAGCCCUUUUAGCCCCAUGAAGGAAAGGUUUGGAGUGUGAACUCCUUAUACACCAUGGGUAACUAGUGAAUGUCCCCCACCCCCAUACAUGUUACCUGGCCAGAUCCUAUAGAUGGGACAUAGAUUUUAAAGGGCAUAUUUGUUAUUUCCCUUUGGCCAAUUAUGAGUUCCCCGGUGAUAGUGCACUCUGAGCCUGCUGAAAUACAAGACCAAGCUGUAUGAGUACAAGUGUGAUAUCACUUCCCAGGGAAGCCACCAC
rnacentral:lncRNA from 1 species